GGGGGGGGGGGGGGGGGGGGGGGGGGGGGGGGGGGGGGGGGGGGGGGGGGGUUGCACCGUGGCGGCCAUGGCGGGCGGGGGAGGAACGCGUAGGGGGCUUACCUGCGGGACUGGGAGAACAGGGGGAAACUCCUGACAAGACCGGAGAAUGUCAUGGAGCUGCAUGGCUUUAUGAUGAAAGGAGACGCCUGCGGAGAGCCUUGCGUCCUAUUAGCUAGUUGGUGAGGUAAUGGCUCACCAAGGCGAAGAUAGGUAGCCGGCCUGAGAGGGUGGACGGCCACAAGGGGACUGAGAUACGGCCCUUACCCCUACGGGAGGCAGCAGUGGGGAAUAUUGGACAAUGGGGGCAACCCUGAUCCAGCAAUUCUGUGUGCACGAAGAAGGUUUUCGGAUUGUAAAGUGCUUUCAGCAGGGAAGAAGUAAGUGACGGUACCUGCAGAAGAAGCGACGGCUAAAUACGUG
rnacentral:rRNA from 1 species